GUAUGAGAGUGCUGGUUUUGCAUACACUAAAGUUGGAAAGACAUGGGGAAGACUACAAAACCCCUGUGCAAAAAUGGCAUACAACUUCAUGAAGUACUUCGUGUAUUU
rnacentral:snRNA from 1 species